AGCAGCAUGGCUCAGUGGAAAGAGCAUGGGCUUGGGAGUCAGAGGUCAUGGGUUCGAAUCCCGGCUCUGCUG
rfam:Ornithorhynchus anatinus chromosome 1, whole genome shotgun sequence.